UACGUAGGGUGCGAGCGUUAAUCGGAAUUACUGGGCGUAAAGCGUGCGUAGACGGUUGCGUAAGUCAGAUGUGAAAUCCCCGGGCUCAACCUGGGAACUGCAUUUGUGACUGUAGAGCUGGAGUGCGGCAGAGGGGGAUGGAAUUCCGCGUGUAGCAGUGAAAUGCGUAGAUAUGCGGAGGAACACCGAUGGCGAAGGCAAUCCCCUGGGCCUGCACUGACGCUCAUGCACGAAAGCGUGGGGAGCAAACAGG
rnacentral:rRNA from 1 species